rnacentral:rRNA from 1 species
GAUGAACGCUGGCGGCGUGCUUAACACAUGCAAGUCGAACGGAAAGGCCCAAGCUUGCUUGGGUACUCGAGUGGCGAACGGGGGAGUAACACGUGGGGGAUCUGCCCUGCACUUCGGGAUAAGACUGGGGAACUGGGGCUAAUAUCGGAGAGGACCACUUCUUGGACGUUGUGGUGGAAAGUUUUUCCGGGUUGGGGUGAGCUGGCGGCCUAUCAGCGUGGUGGUGGGAAGAUGGACUACCAAGGCGUCGGCGGGUAGCCGGCCUGUGGGGGUGUACGGCCACCUUGACUCCGAGGGACGGCCCAGGCUCCUAAUGGUGGCAGCAGUGGGGAAGCUUGCCCGAUCGGCGCAGGCCUGAUGCAGAGACGCCGCGUGGCGGAAGACGCUCUUAUGGUUGUAAACUACUUUCGCUAGGGACGAAGCGCUUUGUGACGGUACCUGAAGAGGAAGCCCCGGCUAACUACGUG